GAUGUGAAGAUGAUCUGUUGGCAACAUCUGUCAUGCCAUUGGUCACCUGAUAUGGCUGGCUAGGUGUCCCCUUCUUCUUCUGCCACGGCAUGUGCAUCCAGAUUUGAGUGCUCGGUCACAAAAGAUGACCUUCCCUAGCGGAGGACCAUUCUUUAGUCAAGGGUACACUAGAAGCUUCAUUUAUCUUCUAGAGUCUCUAAAGAGCCCCUCAAGAAGUGCCGAGCUCCUGUGUCUCCCCUGAGCGACAUUGCUACUGUCCUGCAAAAAGUAUCCAAGG
rnacentral:snRNA from 1 species